CCGGCGCGACAGGAUGUGGCUGCGGCCGAUUAGGUAGACGGUGGGGUAACGGCCCACCGUGCCAGUAAUCGGUACGGGUUGUGAGAGCAAGAGCCCGGAGACGGUAUCUGAGACAAGAUACCGGGCCCUACGGGGCGCAGCAGGCGCGAAACCUUUACACUGCACGCCAGUGCGAUAAGGGGACUCCAAGUGCGAGGGCAUAGCGCCCUCGCUUUUCUGCACCGUAAGGUGGUGCAGGAACAAGUGCUGGGCAAGACCGGUGCCAGCCGCCGCGGUAAUACCGGCAGCACGAGUGAUGGCCGCUGUUAUUGGGCCUAAAGCGUCCGUAGCUGGCCAGGCAAGUCUAUCGGGAAAUCUCCCCGCUUAACGGGGAGGCGUCCGGUGGAAACUGCCUGGCUUGGGACCGGAAGAUCCAGAGGGUACGUCCGGGGUAGGAGUGAAAUCCUGUAAUCCUGGACGGACCACCGGUGGCGAAAGCGCUCUGGAAAGACGGAUCCGACGGUGAGGGACGAAAGCUCGGGUCACGAACCGGAUUAGAUCCCCGGGUAGUCCGAGCUGUAAACGAUGUCUGCUAGGUGCGCCACAGGCUACGAGCCUGUGGUGUGCCGUAGGGAAGCCGUGAAGCAGACCGCCUGGGAAGUACGUCCGCAAGGAUGAAACUUAAAGGAAUUGGCGGGGGAGCACUACAACCGGAGGAGCCUGCGGGUUAAUUGGACUCAACGCCGGACAUCUCACCAGCAUCGACAGUAGGAGUGACGGUCAGUGUGAUGAGCUUACCAGACCUACUGAGAGGAGGUGCAUGGCCGCCGUCAGCUCGUACCGUGAGGCGUCCUGUUAAGUCAGGCAACGAGCGAGACCCGCACUCCUAAUUGCCAGCAACACCCUUGUGGUGGUUGGGUACAUUAGGAGGACUGCCAGUGCCAAACUGGAGGAAGGAACGGGCAACGGUAGGUCAGUAUGCCCCGAAUGUGCUGGGCAACACGCGGGCUACAAUGGUCGAGACAGUGGGAUGCAACCCCGAGAGGGGGCGCUAAUCUCCGAAACUCGAUCGUAGUUCGGAUUGCGGACUGAAACUCGUCCGCAUGAAGCUGGAUUCGGUAGUAAUCGCCGUUCAGAAGACGGCGGUGAAUACGUCCCUGCUCCUUGCACACACCGCCCGUCAAAGC
rnacentral:rRNA from 1 species